rnacentral:lncRNA from 1 species
CUAGAGGCGGCCGCCGGGAGGGCGCGCGGCGCCGGAGACAUGUCCAGGAGGAAACAGAGCAACCCCCGGCAGAUCAAGCGUUCCCUCGGAGACAUGGAGGCCGGAGAAGAGGCCCAGGCCGUGGACACCAGCCUCCCUGAGCAGGAGGCCACAGCCUCUGAGCCGGCGGCCGCGACAGAGCCAGAGCCCCCAAGCUCCCCCGCUGCAGGUGAGUCAGGCGUGGCGCACAGCGGGCCGUCUCUACCCUGAGCCCCCACCGCCCCUUCCCGCGUCCUCGCCUCAGACGUCCCAGGAGCCAGUCCCUCUGGGGACUCGGUUUCCACCCCUGUGAGAUGGGCCUUGAGCUCGGGGGCGUCUGGGGCUGACCUUGCCCAGUGGGUCCAGCAGACCCUGGGCGGCAGUGGGCCUGGAGGGGAGACGCACGAGGGCCUCAGGAAUCAGCCUUUUGUGGGACAGGUGGGGAGACUGAGGCCUGAUGCGGAAGGUCUAGCCCAGGGUCAGACAGGGAGUCUCAUGGGCCACUGAGUGACCUGGGGAAAGCCACACCCCUCCAGCCUCCGUUUACCCUCUACAGAUGGGGCGGUGAAGCCUUACCUGGCUGUGGUGCCUGCCUCGGCACACGUGUUGCUCGGGACGUGGCGGGUUCUCCUGUUAAGGCACUUUUCCCCAUUUUACAGAUGAGGGAAUGAGGCCCAGAGAAGUUAAGUGACUUGCUCUGGAUUACACAGCCUGUUAGCACCCACGCUGGAAUCUGACCCCAGGUCUGGAUUCAAGUUGAUUCCUCCCGUUCCCCCUGCCUGCUCCCCACCCCACCCAGGCACCUGGAACCUCUCCUUGGGCCCCCCUGCUGGCAAUUCCGGGUGGGGUGUGUUUCUAGAGCUGAGAACAGGACGUGGAAGGAGAGACCCUCCCCCCUGGGGUGAAUAACCUGGGACCCGGCGGCCUGUCCUGGCCAGGUCCACGCAGGGCCUCAAGGCUUGGGCAGCCUCUUCGGCCAGCUGAGCCCCAGGAGAAAGAGGCAACUGAGGCUGGGAUUUGUGGUGGGAGGACAAGGGCUGGCUCUGCCCGCCUGCCUGCUGUGGGCCCGGCUGCUGCCUGCUCCGCCCAGCUGGCUGUGGGCAGCAGUCUUGGCCCCAGCCCACUGAGCGCCACGAAGCCAUAUGCACAGAGGCUGAGUCACCCCCAGGCCGCAGUCUGAUGGGGGAGACACAGCCACAAACGGGGCCUUUCGGAAGGCACUGAGUGGGAG